rnacentral:tRNA from 1 species
GCUGGCGUAGCUCAGCUGGUAGAGCAACUGAUUUGUAAUCAGUAGGUCGUCGGUUCGACUCCGACCGCUAGCUCCA